CCUACGGGUGGCUGCAGUGGGGAAUAUUGCACAAUGGGGGAAACCCUGAUGCAGCGACGCCGCGUGAGUGAAGAAGUAUUUCGGUACGUAAAGCUCUAUCAGCAGGGAAGAAAAAAAGUCCUUUGGACUUUGGACGGUACCUGACUAAGAAGCCCCGGCUAACUACGUGCCAGCAGCCGCGGUAAUCCGUAGGGGGCAAGCGUUAUCCGGAUUUACUGGGUGGAAAGGGAGCGUAGACGGCAGCGCAAGUCUGGAGUGAAAUGCCGGGGCCCAACCCCGGGACUGCUCUUGGAACUGCGUGGCUAGAGUGCAGGAGGGGCAGGCGGAAUUCCUGGUGUAGCGGUGAAAUGCGUAGAUAUCAGGAGGAACACCGGUGGCGAAGGCGGCCUGCUGGACUGCAACUGACGUUGAGGCCCGAAAGCGUGGGGAGCAAACAGGAUUAGAUACCCCAGUAGUC
rnacentral:rRNA from 1 species